rnacentral:rRNA from 1 species
GACGAACGCUGGCGGCGUGCUUAACACAUGCAAGUCGAACGGAAAGGCCCUGCUUUUGUGGGGUGCUCGAGUGGCGAACGGGUGAGUAACACGUGAGUAACCUGCCCUUGACUUUGGGAUAACUUCAGGAAACUGGGGCUAAUACCGGAUAGGAGCUCCUGCUGCAUGGUGGGGGUUGGAAAGUUUCGGCGGUUGGGGAUGGACUCGCGGCUUAUCAGCCUGUUGGUGGGGUAGUGGCUUACCAAGGCUUUGACGGGUAGCCGGCCUGAGAGGGUGACCGGCCACAUUGGGACUGAGAUACGGCCCAGACUCCUACGGGAGGCAGCAGUGGGGAAUAUUGCGCAAUGGGCGGAAGCCUGAUGCAGCAACGCCGCGUGCGGGAUGACGGCCUUCGGGUUGUAAACCGCUUUCGCCUGUAACGAAGCGUGAGUGACGGUAAUGGGUAAAGAAGCACCGGCUAACUACGUG